AAAUAGAAAGCGAACAAAUUGCAUUCAGUUUCGACCUGACAUCUUGGUGUUAAACACCUCUAUUUA
rnacentral:tRNA from 1 species